AAACCAGCACCUCAAGUGGUCAGGAGGAUUAUUGGGCCUAAAGCAUCCGUAGCCUGUUCUGUAAGUUUUCGGUUAAAUCCAUUAGCUCAACUAAUGGGCUGCCGAAAAUACUGUAGAACUAGGGAGUGGGAGAGGUAGACGGUAUUCGGUAGGAAGGGGUAAAAUCCUUUGAUCUCUCGAUGACCACCUGUGGCGAAGGCGGUCUACCAGAACACGUCCGACGGUGAGGGAUGAAAGCUGGGGGAGCAAACCGGAUUAGAUACCCGGGUAGUCC
rnacentral:rRNA from 1 species